rnacentral:rRNA from 1 species
UACCAGCACCCCGAGUGGUCGGGACGUUUAUUGGGCCUAAAGCAUCCGUAGCCGGUUCUGCAAGUCUUCCGUUAAAUCCACCUGCUUAACAGAUGGGCCGCGGAAGAUACUAUAGAGCUAGGAGGCGGGAGAGGCAAGCGGUACUCGAUGGGUUGGGGUAAAAUCCGUUGAUCCAUUGAAGACCACCAGUGGCGAAGGCGGCUUGCCAGAAUGCGCUCGACGGUGAGGGAUGAAAGCUGGGGGAGCAAACCGG